UAUUGCUAUAAUUUGUUUUUAUGAAUAUAAAGGUAAAUCCAGGAGUGCCAUGUUAAAAACAAAACAAAAAAAAAAUGAAACUAACACUUGAACUUACAAGUGAAAAUGAGAUGGCGAGACAGGAAUCAGUGCUCCCCAGGGGAUUCUUGCUGGUUUUUCUUCCACAGGUGCCCCAAAUGCCUUGUAGUUGACACAGCUAUGUCGGGUACCUCGCUAUCACUCCAGGAAAUAUUUAUGUUGGCUGCAGCAAAUUUUGGAAGAAGACUUACCCCGGAUGACUGCCCUGCUACCUCUCUGGAUGACUCCUCCACUCUGGAGCCGUAAUCAGUGAGAUCCAUAGGAGCACCUUCCCUCCCGGUGACAGAACAAGAAGCUGAAACUAGAGAAUGAGAUGCUGGGGUUAAGGGUGCGUGACUGCAGAUCAGUUCCGACCGGAUUGGCACCAGCCUAACACCCUACUCUCUGUUAUUUUACUGUCUUCCACCACCAUGAACAGUUGCCCCUCUGUCAUGUGAAACCCUGCCUUGGAGCCAGGAUGGAAACCUCUACAAACUGUGAGCUAAAUAAACCUUCCUCCUUUAA